rnacentral:rRNA from 1 species
UACGGAGGAUCCAAGCGUUAUCCGGAAUCAUUGGGUUUAAAGGGUCCGUAGGCGGUUUAAUAAGUCAGUGGUGAAAGCCCAUCGCUCAACGGUGGAACGGCCAUUGAUACUGUUAGACUUGAAUUAUUAGGAAGUAACUAGAAUAUGUAGUGUAGCGGUGAAAUGCUUAGAGAUUACAUGGAAUACCAAUUGCGAAGGCAGGUUACUACUAAUUGAUUUGACGCUGAUGGACGAAAGCGUGGGUAGCGAACAGG